CACUUUAUUAAAACAGGAAUUAAUUUAGAUGAAAAGUUCCAAGGUACAUUGUGUCUUAGGUGUUACCGCUAUCUAUACCUUCAGUAUUUCAAGUAACUUCAAGUUCGUAAAUUUACAAUGAGGUUAUAGCGCCCAAUCAGGAUGGGGCAGAAUGUGUUCCAAGUUAGGAGGGGACCCCAUGGCCCCUUGGUGAUGUCUCCUGUGGGGCACCUGUGCUUCACUGUUUCUUCUUACAUGCAUGAAUGUGACAUUUUGGAUUCUGUGGCUGUGGCUGGUUCCAACAUUUCAUGAGGGCUACCAAAAGUUCUAGUGCUUGAAAGUGUGUCUUGGAGCCCCAGAAAGUAGAGAACCUCUGCUUUAAUCUAUAUGCAUAGCCUAAACUUCUUAAACUCUGACUAUAUGCAUCUGGGAAUAGGGACUAUGCUUUCUCUUGGUCACUCACAUGGUAUUUGUAAAAAAAAUAGUUACCUGUGGCUGGAUAAUGUGUGUGUGUGUGUGUGUGUGUGUGUGUGUGUGUGUGUUGAGGGGAAGGUAGGGGUUGUAUGUUUUCCCAAAACCAGACUGAAAAUAAACCAAAAGAAAGAUCUGGAAGGAAAAGGUCACAUCUUAUUUAGAAGGUAUGUAUUAGUUUGCUAGGGCUGCCACUACAAAAUAGCAUGGAAUGUAAGAGAAAUUUGUUUUCUCAAAAUUUGGAGUUUAGAAGUCUAAGAUCAACAUGUCAGUACAUUGUUUCUUUCUGCAGGUCCUCUCUUUUGUUUCAGACGACUGCCUUCUUGCUGUGUCCUUUCCUUUGGGCACCCACCCUGGCAUCUCUCUGUGUGCCCUCAUCUCCUCUUCUCAUAAAGACACCAGUCUGAUUGGAUUAGGGCCUCCCAAUAGGGCCACAUUUAACCUUAAUUAUAUCUUAAGACCCUUUUGCAAAGACAGUCACCUUCUGAGUUCCUGGUGGUUAGAGUUUCAACAUCUGAAUUUGGUGGGGCAGGCAUGUGCGCACAAUCCAGCCCAUAACAAAAGAGCAACACUGGAGGGAAAAGUUGAGCAGCCUGGUUUUUCUCUGCAUGGUCAGCUCUGCCCCACUCUUUUCAGAGGAAAGUUUUUUGUUACCUCUUACUUCACACAUAUACAUCACUGGGGGCUUGGUCCAGAGACAAGCACGUGAUGCUCUUGGAGCAAGCAGAUGCACAGAGACAUAUUUGGAUGUUGGCAAAGGGGUAGGGGCUCUUCUUCUGGGACUGUAAGCAGUGAGGGUGAUUAAACUGGACCACCCAUCACCACGUGGUGCCUGGAAAUAGAGGUAAUUCAGUGCAAGGCAAAGCCAGGAGAUGGAGAGUCCCAGAGACAUUCUUCAGGUUCUUGUUGCCAGGAUGAAACCUGGGCUUCUCCACAAUGAGCUUCCCUUUCUGCUUUAGCCUGUUUGAAUUGGUUUUCUGUCAGACCUUAGGGUUCUGAAUCAUGUGCCUCUGGUUAAGAUACAAUCACUUCCAUUUUAGAAAAGAAUAAGGAGAGCUUUGAAGAAAUUUGUGUCCAAGGAACAGUAGUGGAGAAACCUGGACUCUGUCAUUUGCUUUUUCCACAUCUCUGAAUUCCCUGAUAAUAAGUCCUUUACUAAUUAACAUCCAACUGAUACUUGUUCAAUGAAUGAAAGAACACAUCUUAAUCUUAGUUUAAAUAUUUUAGUUUUUCUCUCCUUUAAAAAGCAGAUCCUGUUGCCCAGUUGAUAUCUUUAUGUUUCUGAUGUUGCAGAAAUGAUCUCAACAGACUCUACAAGGGUAGCAAUAAGCAAAUUGCAAUGCUAAAGUAGACCUUCAAAUCCACUUCAGUGAGAAGUGUAAUUAGGUUGGCCCAUCCUACUGCUCUGUGUACUCAAAGCAAAUGAAUAACCUUCAGCAUGGGUUUCCCUUGGCGGCCAGCUCUUGCAACACGUGUGUCCUAUCUUUUGGCCCACACUUUGCACUUGCACAAAUGAUUAACUACAGUGAGAGCUCAUUUCUCCUAUGUGGGGAAGCAUUGUUAUUUCUUAGAAGAAAAAUAUAUGGAUGAACCAGCAGUUUUCCAAUCUCGAUUUAUCUCAAUUUUAAAAUCUGCUCUACAUAUAUUAUUUUUUCACUAACAUAAAGAAAUGAAGAUGCAGGUUUAGAAAAAAAAAUUAAACUAGACCACUGCCACAAAUGAUGGAGAAUUGAGUACAACUGUUAUGUUUAUAUAAAACGCCUUUUCUUCAAAAAGGAGGAUGUAGAGGGCAUUCCCCUCAUGGCUCAGUGGUAACAAACCCAACCAGUAUCCAUGAGGAUGAGGGUUUGAUCCCUGGCUUUGCUCAGUGGGUUAAGGAUCCAGCAUUGCUGUGAGCUUUGUGGUGUAGGUCAAAGAUGCGGCUUGGAUCCCGAGUUUCUGUGGCUGUGGUAUAGGCCAGCAGCUAUAGCUUUGAUUUGAUCCCUACACUGUGAACUUUCAUGUGCUGUAGGUGCGGCCCUCAAAAAAAAAAAGGGGGGGGGAUGUAGAGAGAUUAAAGAAUUCUCAGAAAUCAAUAGGUCUGCUGUUUUAAUUUAGCCUUAUGAAAAGCCUAAAACUUUACUGUCUUGCACACGGCUUUAUCUGUUCACCUUCUCUCCAAGGAGAUAAAAAUAAGUGAAAUCAGCAUUCUCUCCAACUCCCUUGGCAUAAAUUAUUACUUACUCUAAGCAAGAUGACUGAUGAUUGCUAAAGCUCUUUUAAUUAUAUGCUAAACUGAUUAGUGGCUGAAGGGAAGUCCUCUUAGAGCAGUGAGCUGAGAUUAUUUCAGGAAUACCUGUGUGUGAGUGGUGGGGGGUGGGAUGGGGACAGGCAUAUUCUAUUCCGAGAGCCGUGAACAUGGGAGAGGUCUAUACUCUACAUGGUGGAGGCCCCCAGUGCCCUGAGAAAUAACUGAAAUUGGCAAAAGUUUUGCCAGAUAGUUUUUUUUUUUCCUACUACUUUCUGGGGUAACUUUAGGAUAAAGGACCAAAAGAGGAUUAUUCAAAUAUUAAGUACUCCAAGCACGGAACUAUCCUCUUGCCCCCUGUGUAGAAAAUAAACGAAUAGAUUAAGAAUGAGGGAUUUUCAAUACAGGAAGCAGUUUUCCCAAGGAGAAACACUUAAAAGGGCUUUAAUAAGAACAUAGCUUAAAGAAUUGAGAGUUAUUGUGAUAAUUAAGACCUUUAAGAAGAAGUAUUUUGAACUUAAGGCAGGAGGUGGGUUUUGAAAUUGUGUUUUGGCUAGAGAGUUGUUUGUUCCCACUGUGACACAGUGGGUUAAGAAUCUGACUGCAGUGGCUGGGGUCACUGAGACGCGAGUUUAAUCCCCAGCCUGGCAUAGUGAGUUAAAGGAUGUGGCAUUGCUGCAGCUGCAUGUAGGCUGCAGCUGUAUCUUGGAUUCAAUCCCUGGCCCAGGAACUUCCAUAUGCUGCAGGUGUGGCCAUAAAGAGAAAACAAAAUUUACUUGAUAGCACUGACUUGUUUUUUAGGAUUUCCUGUCUUUUUUUUUUUUUUUUUGGUCUUUUUGCCAUUUCGUGGGCCACUCCUGUGGUAUAUGGAGGUUCCCAGGCUAGGGGUCUAAUCAGAGCUGUAGCUGCCAGCCUACGCUAGAGCCACAGCAACGCGGGAUCCGAGCUGCGUCUGCGACCUACACCACAGCUCAUGGCAAUGCCAGAUCCUUAACCCACUGAGCAAGGGCAGGGACCGAACCCGCAACCUCAUGGUUCCUAGUCGGAUUCGUUAACCACUGCGCCACGACGGGAACUCCCUAUCUUCUUAAAAUUCAUGUCUGUUAUUCACAAGAGAGAUUUUGAUCUUUCUGAAGUGGGGAUAGUGGUAGAGAGUGUGUAGUAGGAAGAAAUAGAAAUCACAUAAGGUGGCUGAGUACAAUUAAUUUUAUCUUAAUAAAACAAAAUAUUUGCUAUGAACAAAAUAGCUGAUAAAAACUGUGGCAGAAUUCUAAAAAAUGUACCCCCAAUAUUCCUGUACCAUGUGCACUCAGUCAAACACUAAUCAAAGUACUACCGGGAAAUAACUUCGCAGGUGAAAUUGUGGUUAUUAAUCUUAGAAUAUGGUUACUAAGAUGACCUUAAAAUAGGGAGAUAACCCUGGGUUGACUGGGUGGGCUCAGCAUAAUCAAAUGAGACUUUGAAAGCAGAGAGGAGAGGUUAGGGAGAUGGGAGGAAAUUGUGGAGGUGAUACAUAGGUUUAUGGUAUAGAGUGUGGUGACCAUUUCAUGGGUAUGUACUUAUCUCUAAACAUAAAGCUGUAUACAUUAAUUAUGUAUAACUUUCUGUAU
rnacentral:lncRNA from 1 species